AGUGAACGCUGGCGGUAGGCCUAACACAUGCAAGUCGAACGGCAACACAGUAAGAGCUUGCUCUUACGGGUGGCGAGUGGCGGACGGGUGAGGAAUACAUCGGAAUCUACUUUUUCGUGGGGGAUAACGUAGGGAAACUUACGCCAAUACCGCAUACGACCUACGGGUGAAAGCAGGGGAUCUUCGGACCUUGCGCGAUUGAAUGAGCCGAUGUCGGAUUAGCUAGUUGGCGGGGUAAAGGCCCACCAAGGCGACGAUCCGUAGCUGGUCUGAGAGGAUGAUCAGCCACACUGGAACUGAGACACGGUCCAGACUCCUACGGGAGGCAGCAGUGGGGAAUAUUGGACAAUGGGCGCAAGCCUGAUCCAGCCAUACCGCGUGGGUGAAGAAGGCCUUCGGGUUGUAAAGCCCUUUUGUUGGGAAAGAAAAGCAGCAGGUUAAUACCCCGCUGUUCUGACGGUACCCAAAGAAUAAGCACCGGCUAACUUCGUG
rnacentral:rRNA from 1 species